GUGGGCAGAGGGAUCCUCCUCGCAUCCUUGCUGCUGCUCCUUUCUGCUCACUUGUGAAACUGCAAAAGGAACAGGGAUGGACCUGUGAGAUGUUGGAAGAAGAGGAACAAAAAGAAGAGAAAGAAGAUGAUGAAGCAUGGAGCAAAUGUCUGAGAAUCCCUAACAAGAAAGAGCUGCCAUUCUUCAGAUGCUCAGUGGGUUGGCUGAAGGAGAGAUGGAGUUGUGCCCAGAUCUAGCAGCCCCAGGUCCCUCAGCUCCUUAUCAGGCAGUGCUCCAGUCUCCUUGUAGUCCUUUGCUGGACCCUCUCCAUCAGUUCCCUAUCCCUCUUAAACUGGGGAGAACAAAACUGCCUGCAGUUGUUGAGCUGAGUGACAAGAAGGAAUGCUCCUCAGCUUUAUGAUAGUGAAAAACCUGCUUUGUGCAUUACAAAACGAAAAUCAAAUGAAAACAUUUCAUUUGGAGUGAGUCCAUGAGCAGGCUCCACUUUCCCAGUCACUUCAAUGAGUCUGCAGCUCCAACCUGCUAUCAGCUGCAUUUAUGCUUUGCUGUUUUUAACUUGAACCACCUGAAUGCUAAGCAUUUGUUAAUCUGUGCAUAGUCUUCAUUCCCUUGGCUUUUAAAUGACAAAACCAAUAACACAAACUCUGGAUGAGGACUGAAAGAGGAAACCAAUCUUCUCUCUCUGCUUUUUAAGCUGCCUCAUUACUAUAUUGUGGAACAAAGGAAAUGUAAAGGACAGUCUCCUCAAAGCAGUCUUACAGGAAAACCAGUCUGUGUUGUCAUUCUUCCUUGGA